rnacentral:rRNA from 1 species
AAUCAACGCUGGCGGCGUGCCUAACACAUGCAAGUCGAACGCGACUGGGGACUUCGGUUCCCAGUUGAGUGGCGAACGGGUGAGUAACACGUGGGUGAUCUACCUUCGAGUGGGGGAUAACGUUCCGAAAGGAACGCUAAUACCGCAUGACGUUCCGGGUUUGAAGACCUGGAAACCAAAGCCGGGGACCGCAAGGCCUGGCGCUCAAAGAGGAGCCCGCGUCCGAUUAGCUAGUUGGCGGGGUAACGGCCCACCAAGGCGACGAUCGGUAGCCGGCCUGAGAGGGCGGACGGCCACACUGGGACUGGGACACGGCCCAGACUCCUACGGGAGGGCAGCAGUGGGGAAGUUGUUCGCAAUGGGCGCAAGCCUGACGACGCAACGCCGCGUGGGGGA